GAUGAACGCUAGCGGGAGGCUUAACACAUGCAAGUCGAGGGGCAUCACGGGUAGCAAUACCUGGUGGCGACCGGCAGACGGGUGAGUAACGCGUAUGUAACCUACCCUGUACAGGGGGAUAACCCGGAGAAAUUCGGACUAAUAUCCCAUAAUGAUAUCUGGGGGCAUCUUCGGAUAUUUAAAGUUCCGGCGGUACAGGAUGGGCAUGCGUAACAUUAGCUAGUUGGUAAGGUAACGGCUUACCAAGGCUUUGAUGUUUAGGGGUCCUGAGAGGGUGGUCCCCCACACUGGUACUGAGACACGGACCAGACUCCUACGGGAGGCAGCAGUGAGGAAUAUUGGUCAAUGGGCGCAAGCCUGAACCAGCCAUCCCGCGUGCAGGAAGACGGCCCUAUGGGUUGUAAACUGCUUUUCCAGGGAGAGAAACUUGCGUACGCGUUGCGCAAUUGACGGUACCCUGGGAAUAAGCAUCGGCUAACUCCGUGCCAGCAGCCGCGGUAAAAAUAGCGUACU
rnacentral:rRNA from 1 species